CCAUCCUCUGGUGCCUAGGUAUCUGCACAGACUGCAAAGGGAACUGGGAAUGACUAUGACUUAAAUGCUUAACUUCUAGAUGUAUAAACUUUAGCAGGUAGGCUUACUCAAAACCACAUUUAAAGCAUAGAUACUACUUGUCCUCAGAUGCUACUUUACUUUUAUUAACUCUGCUUUUUCAACUGCAAACCCUGGGUAGGAUUUUAAACCUGCUCAUCAGCAUGCUUGCUCUUCAGGAAACAAAGCCAAGGAACAACAGGACAUGAGCUCAAUGCAUGGACUCCCAACUGGUCAGCUGAUUUGUGCAGAACCAGGGAACCUGCAUUUUCUACCAGAGGUGUCAGAAGUUCAGAGUCUCCACAGACUCAUGCUCACAGUCUCAUUGCUGCAGCUGCUGCAAACACUGCGAGGAAAUAAGAGAAUAGGGCCCUGA
rnacentral:lncRNA from 1 species